rnacentral:rRNA from 1 species
CCUACGGGUGGCAGCAGUGGGGAAUAUUGCACAAUGGGGGAAACCCUGAUGCAGCGACGCCGCGUGAGUGAAGAAGUAAUUCGUUAUGUAAAGCUCUAUCAGCAGGGAAGAAACAGACGGUACCUGAGUAAGAAGCCCCGGCUAACUACGUGCCAGCAGCCGCGGUAAUACGUAGGGGGCAAGCGUUAUCCGGAUUUACUGGGUGUAAAGGGAGCGUAGACGGCAGCGCAAGUCUGGAGUGAAAUCCCAUGGCUUAACCAUGGUACUGCUUUGGAAACUGUGCAGCUAGAGUGCAGGAGAGGUAAGCGGAAUUCCUAGUGUAGCGGUGAAAUGCGUAGAUAUUAGGAGGAACACCAGUGGCGAAGGCGGCUUACUGGACUGUAACUGACGUUGAGGCUCGAAAGCGUGGGGAGCAAACAGGAUUAGAUACCCGGGUAGUC